rnacentral:rRNA from 1 species
UGAGGUUAAGUUAACAAGGGCGCAUGGUGAAUGCCUUGGCACUAGGAGCCGAUGAAGGACGGGACUAACACCGAUAUGCUUCGGGGAGCUGUACGUAAGCUAUGAUCCGGAGAUUUCCGAAUGGGGCAACCCAGCAGUUUUAAUCAACUGUUACCACUAGAUGAAUUCAUAGUCUAGUUGGAGGUAAACGCUGUGAACUGAAACAUCUCAUUAGCAGCAGGAAUAUAAAGAAAUUUCGAUUCCCUAAGUAGCGGCGAGCGAACGGGGAACAGCCCAAACCAAAGUGCUUGCACUUUGGGGUUGUAGGACUGAACAUUUGAGUUACCAAAGAACUUGAUAGUCGAAGGAUUUGGGAAAAUCCGCCAUAGAUGGUGAUAGCCCAGUAGAUUAAAUCAAAUUCUCUCAGUUCAGGAUCCUGAGUACGGCGGAACACGUGAAAUUCCGUCGGAAUCCGGGAGGACCAUCUCCCAAGGCUAAAUACUACCUAGUGACCGAUAGUGAACCAGUACCGUGAGGGAAAGGUGAAAAGCACCCCGGGAGGGGAGUGAAAUAGUUCCUGAAACCAUGUGCCUACAAUAAGUCAGAGCGCGUUAAUGCGUGAUGGCGUGCCUUUUGUAGAAUGAACCGGCGAGUUAUGAUCCCGUGCAAGGUUAAGACUAAAAAGUCGGAGCCGUAGCGAAAGCGAGUCUGAAAUGGGCGCUUUGAGUACGAGGUUAUAGACCCGAAACCAGGUGACCUAUCCAUGUCCAGGUUGAAGGUGCGGUAAAACGCACUGGAGGACCGAACCCGUGUAAGUUGAAAAUUGCUGGGAUGAGGUGUGGAUAGCGGUGAAAUUCCAAACGAACUUGGAGAUAGCUGGUUCUCUCCGAAAUAGCUUUAGGGCUAGCCUCGGAAUUAGGAUCAUGGAGGUAGAGCACUAUUUGGACUAGGGGCCCGUCUUGGGUUACUGAAUUCAGAUAAACUCCGAAUGCCAUUGAUUCAUAUCCGGGAGUCAGACGAUGAGUGAUAAGAUCCACCGUCGAAAGGGGAACAGCCCAGACCAUCAGUUAAGGUCCCUAAAUGUAUGCUAAGUGGAAAAGGAUGUGGAGUUGCAUAGACAACUAGGAUGUUGGCUCAGAAGCAGCCACCAUUUAAAGAGUGCGUAAUAGCUCACUAGUCGAGUGAUCCUGCGCCGAAAAUGUACCGGGGCUAAGCAUACUACCGAAACCAUGGAUGCGACCAUUAGGUCGCGUGAUAGGAGAGCGUUCUAAGGGCGGUGAAGCAAGAUCGUGAGGACUUGUGGAGCGCUUAGAAGUGAGAAUGCCGGUAUGAGUAGCGAAAGAUAGGUGAGAAUCCUAUCCACCGAAUGACUAAGGUUUCCUGGGGAAGGCUCGUCCUCCCAGGGUUAGUCGGGACCUAAGUCGAGGCCGAGAGGCGUAGACGAUGGAUAACAGGUUGAGAUUCCUGUACUAGUUAAGUGCGUUUGAGCAAUGGAGGGACGCAGGAGGCUAAGAUGUGCAUUCUGUUGGAUUAGAAUGUCCAAGCAGUAAGUCUUGUGAAGAGUCAAAUGCUUUUCACUUUAAGGACAAGCUGUGAUGGGGAGCGAAAUUUAGUAGCGAAGCGUCUGAUGUCACACUGCCGAGAAAAGCUUCUAGUGAGUACUUAACUACCCGUACCGCAAACCGACACAGGUAGUCGAGGAGAGAAUCCUAAGGUGAGCGAGUGAACUCUCGUUAAGGAACUCGGCAAAAUGACCCCGUAACUUCGGGAGAAGGGGUGCUGAUCGCAAGAUCAGCCGCAGUGAAUAGGCCCAGGCGACUGUUUAUCAAAAACACAGGUCUCUGCAAAAUCGUAAGAUGACGUAUAGGGGCUGACGCCUGCCCGGUGCUGGAAGGUUAAAAGGAUGGGUUAGCUUCGGCGAAGCUCAGAAUUGAAGCCCCAGUAAACGGCGGCCGUAACUAUAACGGUCCUAAGGUAGCGAAAUUCCUUGUCGGGUAAGUUCCGACCCGCACGAAAGGCGUAACGAUCUGGGCACUGUCUCAACGAGAGACUCGGUGAAAUUAUAUUGUCCGUGAAGAUGCGGACUACCCGCGACAGGACGGAAAGACCCCAUGGAGCUUUACUGUAGCUUGAUAUUGAGUGUUUGUACAGCUUGUACAGGAUAGGUAGGAGCCAUAGAAACCGGAACGCUAGUUUCGGUGGAGGCGUUGGUGGGAUACUACCCUCGCUGUAUGACCACUCUAACCCGCACCACUAAUCGUGGUGGGAGACAGUGUCAGG